rnacentral:rRNA from 1 species
UACAGAGACUGCAAGCGUUAUUCGGAUUCACUGGGCGUAAAGGGUGCGCAGGCGGCCGUGUGUGUGAGGCGUGGAAGCCCGGGGCUUAACCCCGGAAUUGCACCUCAAACUACACGGCUAGAGCAUUGGAGAGGGUAGCAGAAUUCACGGUGUAGCAGUGAAAUGCGUAGAUAUCGUGAGGAAUACCAGAGGCGAAGGCGGCUACCUGGACAAUUGCUGACGCUCAGGCACGAAAGCGUGGGGAGCAAAAGGG